ensembl:lncRNA
AUGCGCUCCUCGCCGCCUCCCGUUCGGCGCUGGGCAGGUGAUGGGCGCCAGGUUCAUCGCUGCUUCCCGUUGACACAGCUGCCUGCUGUGUCUGGGAGUGAGGCUGAUGAGCGAGGCAUGAAUGAAGCGGCACGGGCUGUGAAGCUCUACACGGAGCUGACCAUCACAUCGCCUCCAGCGCUGGAAGGUCCACAGCUCUGGAAGUUCAAGGGAAAAUCAGCCACCGUCCGUCGCGACAUCCUUCCAAGAUGCAAACGAAGCCUCAACUCAGACUCAGACUCAGACUCAGACUCAGACUCAGACUCAGACUCAGACUCAGACUCAGACUCAGACUCAGACUCUGACGUGCAACCCGGUUUGCAUGUGCAACGGCUGCACUGCAGCUAUUUCCUCCAGAGGGGACGGAGAUGAAUCAGCAUCUGAACUGCGCUGAGAAAGGUCAAGGGAUGAGAUGAGUGUCACUUUUGAGGAAAAAAAAGCCCAAACUCCAGGCGUCUGCUUGACGAGUGCAGAUUCGUUGAGAGGAGCAGCUUCGGCGGGUGUCGUUCCGUUGCCCAAGGACGGCUCAGUUUGCCUUUGUGUGUAGCCUUUCACUCCUGCAUCCCCUGUAGCAGGAGUGAGGAGCUCCUGCGCUGGCACCUAAGUUGAAAUGACACGCCAAUUUACCACUCCCCAAGAGAGGAAUUAGGAAGGUUGCCGCAUGCAAAUCACAGCUGUGACAGUGGCAGCAUCCUUAAACCAGAAAUGUGGACAGAUGAAAGGCUGCUCACUGUUAGAGUGACCUAAACCUAAAACCAUUAUGAGCAGGAAUUAGCUAGCUAGAACGUCCCUUUGCAGGCUGCAAGUCAUUCUCCUCACAGAUGAAACAGUAUUGAUAUGCUAAUAUUAAAUUCUUGUUCACAUCUGUGUUAUUUAAUUACCACUGGACCUGCUGGCUGGACUGCAGGCCACAUUAAAGCUGUAACUGGGCUCCAUGAAGGUCCCUGACACUAGAAGGUAAUAAACAGCCUCAGAUGAGGGUGGAUGGUCCCA